rnacentral:rRNA from 1 species
GGGUUGUGAGGUUAAGCGAAUAAGCGUACACGGUGGAUGCCUAGGCAAUCAGAGGCGAUGAAGGACGUGCUAAUCUGCGAAAAGCGUCGGUAAGGUGAUAUGAACCGUUAUACCCGACGAUAUCCGAAUGGGGAAACCCAGUAUCCAAUGGAUACUAUCAUUAACUGAAUCCAUAGGUUAAUGAGGCGAACCGGGAGAACUGAAACAUCUCAGUACCCCGAGGAAAAGAAAUCAACCGAGAUUCCCCUAGUAGCGGCGAGCGAACGGGGAGCAGCCCAGAGUCUUAAUCAAUAGCAGUGUCAGGAGAACGGUCUGGAAAGUCCGGCAGUAAAGGGUGAUAGCCCCGUAUCUGAAGAUGCUGUUAUUGUGAACUCGAUGAGUAGGGCGGGACACGUGUUAUCCUGUCUGAAUAUGGGGGGGCCAUCCUCCAAGGCUAAAUACUCCUGAUUGACCGAUAGUGAACCAGUACCGUGAGGGAAAGGCGAAAAGAACCCCGGCGAGGGGAGUGAAAAAGAACCUGAAACCGUGUACGUACAAGCAGUAGGAGCCUCUUUAUGGGGUGACUGCGUACCUUUUGUAUAAUGGGUCAGCGACUUAUAUUCUGUAGCAAGGUUAACCGUAUAGGGGAGCCGUAGGGAAACCGAGUCUUAACUGGGCGAAUGAGUUGCAGGGUAUAGACCCGAAACCCGGUGAUCUAUCCAUGGGCAGGUUGAAGGUUGGGUAACACUAACUGGAGGACCGAACCGACUAAUGUUGAAAAAUUAGCGGAUGACUUGUGGAUGGGGGUGAAAGGCCAAUCAAACCGGGAGAUAGCUGGUUCUCCCCGAAAGCUAUUUAGGUAGCGCCUCGUGAACUCAUCUUCGGGGGUAGAGCACUGUUUCGACUAGGGGGUCAUCCCGACUUACCAACUCGAUGCAAACUGCGAAUACCGAAGAAUGUUAUCACGGGAGACACACGGCGGGUGCUAACGUCCGUCGUGAAGAGGGAAACAACCCAGACCGCCAGCUAAGGUCCCAAAGUCAUGGUUAAGUGGGAAACGAAGUGGGAAGGCUCAGACAGCCAGGAUGUUGGCUUAGAAGCAGCCAUCAUUUAAAGAAAGCGUAAUAGCUCACUGGUCGAGUCGGCCCGCGCGGAAGAUGUAACGGGGCUAAACCAUGCACCGAAGCUGCGGCAGCGACACAUAGUGUUGUUGGGUAGGGGAGCGUUCUGUAAGCCUGCGAAGGUGUACUGUGAGGUAUGCUGGAGGUAUCAGAAGUGCGAAUGCUGACAUAAGUAACGAUAAUGCGGGUGAAAAACCCGCACGCCGGAAGACCAAGGGUUCCUGUCCAACGUUAAUCGGGGCAGGGUGAGUCGACCCCUAAGGCGAGGCUGAAAAGCGUAGUCGAUGGGAAACGGGUUAAUAUUCCCGUACUGGUGGUAACUGCGAUGGGGGAACGGAGAAGGCUAGGUUGUCCGGGCGACGGUCGUCCCGGUUCAAGCAGGUAGGCAGAGUGAUUAGGCAAAUCCGGUCACUUAAUGCUGAGAUGUGAUGACGAACCACCAAGGUGGUGAAGCAAUUGAUGCCCCGCUUCCAGGAAAAGCCUCUAAGCUUCAGGUUACCAACAAUCGUACCCCAAACCGACACAGGUGGUCAGGUAGAGAAUACUCAGGCGCUUGAGAGAACUCGGGUGAAGGAACUAGGCAAAAUGGUGCCGUAACUUCGGGAGAAGGCACGCUGGCGGUAGGUAAAGUCCCUCGCGGACAGAGCUGAAGCCAGUCGAAGAUACCAGCUGGCUGCAACUGUUUAUUAAAAACACAGCACUGUGCAAACACGAAAGUGGACGUAUACGGUGUGACGCCUGCCCGGUGCUGGAAGGUUAAUUGAUGGGUCAGCCGUAAGGCGAAGCUCCUGAUCGAAGCCCCAGUAAACGGCGGCCGUAACUAUAACGGUCCUAAGGUAGCGAAAUUCCUUGUCGGGUAAGUUCCGACCUGCACGAAUGGCGUAAUGAUGGCCAGGCUGUCUCCACCCGAGACUCAGUGAAAUUGAACUCGCUGUGAAGAUGCAGUGUACCCGCGGCAAGACGGAAAGACCCCGUGAACCUUUACUAUAGCUUGACACUGAACAUUGAGCCUUGAUGUGUAGGAUAGGUGGGAGGCUUUGAAGUGUGGACGCCAGUCUGCAUGGAGCCAACCUUGAAAUACCACCCUUUAACGUUUGAUGUUCUAACCUAGGCCCAUAAACUGGGUCGGGGACCGUGUCUGGUGGGUAGUUUGACUGGGCGGUCUCCUCCUAAAGAGUAACGGAGGAGCACGAAGGUUGGCUAAGCAUGGUCGGACAUCAUGCGGUUAGUGCAAAGGCAUAAGCCAGCUUGACUGCGAGAGUGACGGCUCGAGCAGGUACGAAAGUAGGUCUUAGUGAUCCGGUGGUUCUGAAUGGAAGGGCCAUCGCUCAACGGAUAAAAGGUACUCCGGGGAUAACAGGCUGAUACCGCCCAAGAGUUCAUAUCGACGGCGGUGUUUGGCACCUCGAUGUCGGCUCAUCACAUCCUGGGGCUGAAGUAGGUCCCAAGGGUAUGGCUGUUCGCCAUUUAAAGUGGUACGCGAGCUGGGUUUAGAACGUCGUGAGACAGUUCGGUCCCUAUCUGCCGUGGGCGUUGGAAGAUUGAGAGGGGUUGCUCCUAGUACGAGAGGACCGGAGUGAACGCACCACUGGUGUUCGGGUUGUCAUGCCAAUGGCAUUGCCCGGUAGCUAAGUGCGGAAGAGAUAACCGCUGAAAGCAUCUAAGCGGGAAACUUGCCUCGAGAUGAGUCUUCCCUGUCGCUUUAAGUGACCUAAAGGAACGUUUAAGACUAAGACGUUGAUAGGCUGGGUGUGUAAGCGUAGCGAUACGUUGAGCUAACCAGUACUAAUGAACCGUGAGGCUUAACCUGACAACACCGAAGGUGUUU